CGCAUCUGUGCAUGCAGCAUAUCAAUAAGCGGAGGAAAAGAAACUAACAAGGAUUCCCCUAGUAACGGCGAGUGAAGCGGGAAGAGCUCAAAUUUGAAAUCUUAAAGGGUUUCCCUUUACGAAUUGUAGUUUAAAGAAGUGUUUUCUGUUGAGGUUUUGGUAAAAGUUCUUUGGAAUAGGACAUCAUAGAGGGUGAGAAUCCCGUAUUUGACCUUUACUUUCAACUUUGUGAUACACUUUCAAAGAGUCGGAUUGUUUGGGAAUGCAGUCCAAAAUGGGUGGUAAAUUUCAUCUAAAGCUAAAUAUUGGCGAGAGACCGAUAGCGAACAAGUACCGUGAGGGAAAGAUGAAAAGAACUUUGAAAAGAGAGUUAAACAGUACGUGAAAUUGUCAAAAGGGAAGCGUUUGACACCAGUGUUGUUUUUCUGAAAAUCAAUUAAAGAACUGUUUAUGCUAAGUUGUUUAGACUUUAUCAGCUAACUGUUUAGUUUUGAGCUUUUCUUUAAUGCACUUUUCAGUUAACAAGUCAACAUCAAUUUCUUUUGCUGUAAAAAAGCUUGAGGAAGGUGGCUUGAGAUUCGUCUUAAGUGUUUAUAGCCUCUUGCCUAUGCAGUCGGAGAGAUUGAGGUCUGCAGCGUAGAUCCUUCGGGGCUAAAUGCAUUUGUGCUAAGUUAUAACAUUUCAUAGACAACUUGUUGACUAUGAUUUGUCUUGUAGCUUACUCGCUUAUGUUAUUUUACCUACGCUUAGGAUGUUGACAGCAGUAUAGACUGU
rnacentral:rRNA from 1 species